GCCGCCAUGGCGCAGUGGUAGCGCAGGGGCCUUUUAAGCCCAGGGUCGCAGGUUCGAAUCCUGCUGGCGGCACCA
rnacentral:tRNA from 1 species